AAGAAGAAACUCCUCUUUUUUUUUCUACUUGAGCUCAACGGCUGCAGUCCUGGAUUCAGUGAGAGCUAAGGAACAAAUAACUUUCAGCAGAAACCGUGAACUAAGAGUCCUCAAAUCUUUCGGACGCAGCUGCAGCGAUCUUCUGAGGAGAGGGGAGCAGUUCAUGGUAUUUCUCAUCUUUAAACAACAGGAAAACACACUUUACACUCGUGCUGUGGGCAGAGUGGAUAAAGACACAUGCCUUUGGUGUGAGAGACACGGGUUCGAAUCCACUGUGAGACACCAAUGUGUCCCUGAGCAAGACACUUAACCCCUAGUUGCUCCAGAGGCGUGUGACAUCUGACAUGUAUAGCAAUUUAGUGACUACGUUUUGAUGAAAAGCAGGAAUAUUUGGAGGAGUAUCAUCUGAACUGAGAUCUGCUGCUGUGAAGAUGAUGUUUGUUAAAGAGGAGAGUAAAGAGAACACGAGUGAACCAGAAACCUGGAGAAUAAAACACGAGGAGCCAGAAACCUGGAGAAUAAAACCAGAGGAGCCAGAAACCCGGCGAAUAAAACCAGAGGAGCCAGAAACCCGGAGAAUAAACCAAGAGGAGCCAGAGACCCCGGAAAUAAAACCCAAGGAGCCAGAAACCUGGAGAAUGAAACCCGAGGAGCCAGAAACCCGGCGAAUAAAACCCGAAGAGCAAGAAACCCGGAGAAUAAGCCACGAGGAGCCAGAAACCUGGAGAAUAAACCGUGAGGAGCCAGAAACCUGGAGAAUAAACCGUGAGGAGCCA